rnacentral:rRNA from 1 species
GCGGCUUUUUAAGUCGGAUGUGAAAUCCCUGAGCUUAACUUAGGAAUUGCAUUCGAUACUGGGAAGCUAGAGUAUGGGAGAGGAUGGUAGAAUUCCAGGUGUAGCGGUGAAAUGCGUAGAGAUCUGGAGGAAUACCGAUGGCGAAGGCAGCCAUCUGGCCUAAUACUGACGCUGAGGUACGAAAGCAUGGGGAGCAAACAGGAUUAGAUACCCUGGUAGUCCAUGCCGUAAACGAUGUCUACUAGCCGUUGGGGCCUUUGAGGCUUUAGUGGCGCAGCUAACGCGAUAAGUAGACCGCCUGGGGAGUACGGUCGCAAGACUAAAACUCAAAUGAAUUGACGGGGGCCCGCACAAGCGGUGGAGCAUGUGGUUUAAUUCGAUGCAACGCGAAGAACCUUACCUGGUCUUGACAUAGUAAGAACUUUCCAGAGAUGGAUUGGUGCCUUCGGGAACUUACAUACAGGUGCUGCAUGGCUGUCGUCAGCUCGUGUCGUGAGAUGUUGGGUUAAGUCCCGCAACGAGCGCAACCCUUUUCCUUAUUUGCCAGCGGGUUAAGCCGGGAACUUUAAGGAUACUGCCAGUGACAAACUGGAGGAAGGCGGGGACGACGUCAAGUCAUCAUGGCCCUUACGACCAGGGCUACACACGUGCUACAAUGGUCGGUACAAAGGGUUGCUACCUAGCGAUAGGAUGCUAAUCUCAAAAAGCCGAUCGUAGUCCGGAUUGGAGUCUGCAACUCGACUCCAUGAAGUCGGAAUCGCUAGUAAUCGUGGAUCAGAAUGCCACGGUGAAUACGUUCCCGGGCCUUGUACACACCGCCCGUCACACCAUGGGAAUUUGUUGCACCAGAAGUAGGUAGUCUAACCGCAAGGAGGACGCUUACCACGGUGUGGCCGAUGACUGGGGUGAAGUCGAAACAAGGUAGCCGUACUGGAAG